rnacentral:rRNA from 1 species
AUGGUGGUGGGCUGCGAUGGCAGUGCCCGCCAUGUUCUAUUUUUGCUGGAACCACUUAAGAUUUUUGCUGGAACCCUUUUUCCUUUUUGCUACAAAUCGGGGAUGCUGGAAACGGGGACAUCGGGGAUGCUGGAACCCGUGGUGUUUUUUGCUGCUACCAGCUGUAAUUUUUGCUGGAACUGGUGUGUUCUUUUUCCUUGGAUCGGUGUCGGCGGUGAUUUUCUGCUGGAACCAAGUUCUAUUUUUGCUGGAACCAGUGAUAUGUUUUGCUGCUAUGGGAGGAAUUUUGUGCUGGAACUGGUGUUUCCUUUGCUUGAAUUGGUGCCAGCGGUGAAUUUUGUUGGAACCAAGAUGUUUGUUUUGCUGGAAACAUAG